GAUGACCGCUCUCGGCAGGCCUCCCCCAUGCAAUGCUAGGGGUAGCAGGAAUACGCUUGCUUCCUUUCUGACGACCGGCGCACGGGUGCAUAACGCGUAUGCACCCUACCUUAUACUUUGUUGUAGCCCGGAGAAAUUCGGAUUACUCCCCCAUAGUACUCCUCCCUCGCAUGUGUUCUUAGUUAAAGCAUUGCGGUAUAAGAUGGGCAUGCGUCCUAUUAGCUAGAUGGUGAGUUAACGGUUCACCAUGGCUACGAUAGGUAGGGGGCCUGAGAGGGUGGUCCCCCAGACUGGUACUGAGACACGGACCAGACUCCUACGGGAGGCAGCAGUGAGGAAUAUUGGUCAAUGGGCGUAUGCCUGAACCAGCCAUGCCGCGUGCAGGAAGAAUGCCCUAUGGGUUGUAAACUGCUUUUAUUUGGGAAUAAACCUCUUUACGUGUAGAGAGCUGAAGGUACCAAAUGAAUAAGCACCGGCUAACUCCGUGCCAGCAGCCGCCGUAA
rnacentral:rRNA from 1 species